rnacentral:rRNA from 1 species
GACGAACGCUGGCGGCGUGCCUAAUACAUGCAAGUAGAACGCUGAAGAGAGGAGCUUGCUCUUCUUGGAUGAGUUGCGAACGGGUGAGUAACGCGUAGGUAACCUGCCUUGUAGCGGGGGAUAACUAUUGGAAACGAUAGCUAAUACCGCAUAACAAUGGAUGACACAUGUCAUUUAUUUGAAAGGGGCAAUUGCUCCACUACAAGAUGGACCUGCGUUGUAUUAGCUAGUAGGUGAGGUAAUGGCUCACCUAGGCGACGAUACAUAGCCGACCUGAGAGGGUGAUCGGCCACACUGGGACUGGGACACGGCCCAGACUCCUACGGGAGGCAGCAGUAGGGAAGCUUCGGCAAUGGGGGCAACCCUGACCGAGCAACGCCGCGUGAGUGAAGAAGGUUGUCGGAUCGUAAAGCUCUGUUGUAAGUCAAGAACGGGUGUGAGAGUGGAAAGUUCACACUGUGACGGUAGCUUACCAGAAAGGGACGGCUAACUACGUG